rnacentral:tmRNA from 1 species
GGGGCUGAUCGGUUUCGACAGCAGUUCCGGUGGCCGAGCGUGCGACCCGAGUUGCUCAGACUCGCUAAACGGGGCAAACACAAAGAAUUGCCAACCAGCAGUUCGCUCUCGCCGCCUGAUCACUCAGGUUGUGAAGAGACAUCGUGACCAGAAAUGGCGCACGGGGCCGAUCCACCGCAGCCCGGCAACAGAAGCGGGGGAUGGCCGCCGGGAAGACGGCUGACGGCGAGAAAGACCGCUGACCGCACGGAAAGACGUGUCGUGGUCCGCCAGCGAUGACGGACGGCCGACCCGUCGGUGAGAUUGCGUCAGUCUCGAAAUCGGGAAUGGUCGUAGCACGAACGCUCAUCGCCUGAUGGACGGGGGUUCGAUUCCCCCCAGCUCCACCA